rnacentral:lncRNA from 1 species
GUUUCUAUGAAACAACUGUUGUAAUCUAAAAACUUAAGCUGUUAAAGAACGGUAUUUAAAUAUUUUUAUAUUUAACACUCCCUCUCACGUCUGGACUCAAGACUUUUUAGUCAGCCCAUGACGUGGGCUUGAAUUAAACGGAAGAAUUAAUAUACUAGGAGCCUGGCGUGACUCGAACUCAGGACCUCCUGCUCUGACAUCAUGUGAAACAACUGUUGUAUUUUAAAAACUUAAGCUGUUAAAGAACGGUAUUUAAAUAUUUUUAUAUUUAACACUCCCUCUCACGUCUGGACUCAAGACUUUUUAGUCAGCCCAUGACGUGGGCUUGAAUUAAACGGAAGAAUUAAUAUACUAGGAGCCUGGCGUGACUCGAACUCAGGACCUCCUGCUCUGACAUCAUGUGAAACAACUGUUGUAUUUUAAAAACUUAAGCUGUUAAAGAACGGUGUUUAAAUAUUUUUAUAUUUUACAGUUUCGUAUGAUAAA